AUUGAACGCUGGCGGCAUGCCUUACACAUGCAAGUCGAACGGCAGCACGGGUGCUUGCCCCUGGUGGCGAGUGGCGAACGGGUGAGUAAUACAUCGGAACAUGUCCUGUAGUGGGGGAUAGCCCGGCGAAAGCCGGAUUAAUACCGCAUACGAUCUACGGAUGAAAGCGGGGGACCUUCUGGCCUCGCGCUAUAGGGUUGGCCGAUGGCUGAUUAGCUAGUUGGUGGGGUAAAGGCCUACCAAGGCGACGAUCAGUAGCUGGUCUGAGAGGACGACCAGCCACACUGGGACUGAGACACGGCCCAGACUCCUACGGGAGGCAGCAGUGGGGAAUUUUGGACAAUGGGCGAAAGCCUGAUCCAGCAAUGCCGCGUGUGUGAAGAAGGCCUUCGGGUUGUAAAGCACUUUUGUCCGGAAAGAAAUCCUUGGCCCUAAUACGGUCGGGGGAUGACGGUACCGGAAGAAUAAGCACCGGCUAACUACGUG
rnacentral:rRNA from 1 species